CAGAAAGUAAGGCUACUGUUAGCCUUUCAGACUGCAUGUAACUGCAUUCUAUCUCUUUUCAUCUCGCAUGGAAAGUCUCCAAGACAUCGGUGCUGGGCAAAGUCUCAUGUGAGCUGAUUGUUUUAGGACGAGGCAAGACGUUGGAGGAGAUUUUAGAAAUCAGAUGAGUUUCCCGGCUUCCACACACUCCUGAGCAUCGGAUCCAGACGAGCCAUAACUCUGUCACAGCCCCUGGAAGAAGUCGAGACGGUGAUUCACCGAGCUGGGCUCUGAGUGACUCAGCCCUCUACUCAGCUUCUCUGGACGAAGUCGCCUGGCACUGGGUUGUCCUUGGAGCAACCAGUCAGACCCAGCGAUGUACCAUCAUGGGCUGGUGGCAGCGGCAGUAUCUUCUAUUAAUAGAGUGGUGAGUGUUCCAAAGGGU
rnacentral:lncRNA from 1 species